UACGUAGGGUGCGAGCGUUGUCCGGAAUUACUGGGCGUAAAGAGCUCGUAGGUGGUUUGUCGCGUUGUUCGUGAAAACUCACAACUCAAUUGUGGGCGUGCGGGCGAUACGGGCAGACUGGAGUACUGCAGGGGAGACUGGAAUUCCUGGUGUAGCGGUGAAAUGCGCAGAUAUCAGGAGGAACACCGGUGGCGAAGGCGGGUCUCUGGGCCGAUACUGACGCUGAGGUGCGAAAGCGUGGGGAGCAAACAGG
rnacentral:rRNA from 1 species